GGUGGUGUCGCUUGUUCAGCGCCUUUGGCGUGCAUUCUGGCGAUACCUUGUCGUUGUGGCUGGCUAGUAUGUGAUUUUGACGUACUGGCUGGUGAGGGCUCCCUUCCGGUGAGGACAACGACAAAAUGACGCAAUACGACCCGUCUUGAAACACGGACCAAGGAGUCUAGCACGGCUGCGAGUCGAAGGGUGUAAAACCCAAGGGCGCAGUGAAAGCGAAUUUAUAAGCAAAUUGGGGAGGCGUGGAGUUUUUAACAAAAUGUCCUACCUUGAGCAUUUGUGCUGGGACCCGAAAGAUGGUGAACUAUGCCGGAGUAGGGCAAAGCCAGAGGAAACUCUGGUGGAGGCUCGUAGCGAUGCUGACGUGCAAAUCGCUCGUCGAACUUGGGUAUAGGGGCGAAAGACUAAUCGAACCAUCUAGUAGCUGGUUCCCUCCGAAGUUUCUCUCAGGAUAGCGGGCCGACAUAUGUUGUUUUGUGCGGUAAAGCGAAUGAUUAGUGCAUUUGGGGUCUGAUAGACUUCGGGCGAUUCUCAAACUUUAAAUGCGCAAGGGGGUGGCUGCUUAAUUGAGCCUACUCUUUGAAAAACGUCGGCCCUGUGGGCCACUUUUGGUAAGCAGAACUGGCGAUAAGGGAUGAACCUUAAGCGCGGUUAAGGCGCCGCAUUGCCCGCUUAUAGACCCCACAAAAGGUGUUGAUUCAUUUAGACAGCAGGACGGUGGCCAUGGAAGUCGGAAUCCGCUAAGGAGUGUGUAACAACUCACCUGCCGAAUGAAUUAGCCCUGAAAAUGGAUGGCGCUUAAGCGGGCAGCCGACACCGCGCCGUUCCGGCGAGACGAUGCCGGGAUGAGUAGGAGGGCGUGGCGGUCAGUGACGCAGGCGAGGGUGCAGACCCCGCUGAAACGGCCGCUAGUGCAGAUCUUGGUGGUAGUAGCAAAUAUUCAAGCGAGAUCCUUGAAGGGUGAAGCGGGGAAGGGUUCCACGCAAACAUUGAUUGGGCGUGGGUGAGUCGUUCCUAAGCCGAGUGGCAAUUGCUAAGUAGCGGCGAAAGGGAAGCGGGUUAAAAUUCCCGCACACGGAUAUGGAGGGGGCGACGCAAGCAGAGGCAAAUACGCUGGCGAGGGCGUUGGGCAGAGUUGUCUUUUCUGUUUGACCGGCAUCGCGUUGUGUGGAAUCCGGUUAUCGGGAGAAACACGCGCGGGGAGGGGCAGAGCGUCAGGUCUUUUCUGGCGUCCGGCCGCCCUCGACGGCCCUUGAAAAUUUGCCCGCGAACUUAAAUUUCAUGCUGUGACGUACCGAUAACCGCAUCAGGUCCCCAAGGUGAACAGCCUCUGCUCAAUAUGAACAAUGCAGGUAAGGGAAGUCGGCAAAAAAGACCCGUAAUUUUGGGAAAAGGGUUGGCUCUAGUGGAGCGGGGGUUUUCAAAGGGAGCUCACCUGUGCUUGGCGCCGGGCGGGUGUGGGUAGCUCACGCUGGACGUGCCUGCUCCGGGUCUUGCGCGGGGGACGUUUCUCGCCCUCAGCAUGCUCCAAAUUAGAACUGCAACGGGCAAAGGGAAUCCGACUGUUUAAUUAAAACAAAGCAUUGCGAAG
rnacentral:rRNA from 1 species